AAAUGCAGAAAGCAGGCAGGCAGGCAGGAGAAGUCUGAGUUGGAAGAUUUAUUUGUCCAAAAAACAAAGUGCAAAUUAACAAAGGGAGUCCUGAGAGGGGCAGGCAAACACUAAUCUAGAGUGUAGAAAACAA